GCUAGUGUGGCAUAGUGGUUUAAGUAUUGGACUACAAUUCUGAAGAUCAGGGUUUGAUUCCCCACUCAGCU